rnacentral:rRNA from 1 species
UACAGAGGUCCCGAGCGUUGUUCGGAUUCAUUGGGCGUAAAGGGUGCGUAGGCGGUCGUGCAAGUCGGAUGUGAAAUCUCAGGGCUCAACCCUGAAACUGCAUUCGAUACUGCGCGGCUAGAGUGCUGGAGGGGAGACUGGAAUUUACGGUGUAGCAGUGAAAUGCGUAGAUAUCGUAAGGAAGACCAGUGGCGAAGGCGAGUCUCUGGACAGCAACUGACGCUGAGGCACGAAGGCCAGGGGAGCAAACGGG